GUCUGGUGGCGAGUGGCAGAACGGGUGAGUAAUGUAUCGGAACGUGCCUAGUAGCGGGGGAUAACUACGCGAAAGCGUAGCUAAUACCGCAUACGCCCUACGGGGGAAAGCAGGGGAUCGCAAGACCUUGCACUAUUAGAGCGGCCGAUAUCGGAUUAGCUAGUUGGUGGGGUAACGGCUCACCAAGGCGACGAUCCGUAGCUGGUUUGAGAGGACGACCAGCCACACUGGGACUGAGACACGGCCCAGACUCCUACGGGAGGCAGCAGUGGGGAAUUUUGGACAAUGGGGGAAACCCUGAUCCAGCCAUCCCGCGUGUGCGAUGAAGGCCUUCGGGUUGUAAAGCACUUUUGGCAGGAAAGAAACGUUCCGGGUUAAUACCCCGGGAAACUGACGGUACCUGCAGAAUAAGCACCGGCUAACUACGUGCCAGCAGCCGCGGUAAUACGUAGGGUGCAAGCGUUAAUCGGAAUUACUGGGCGUAAAGCGUGCGCAGGCGGUUCGGAAAGAAAGAUGUGAAAUCCCAGAGCUUAACUUUGGAACUGCAUUU
rnacentral:rRNA from 1 species